ACCCAGCUGACGAGUCCCAAAUACGACGAAACAUGCGUCCUGGAU
rnacentral:hammerhead_ribozyme from 1 species